UUUAAGCUUCCUACGGGAGGCUGCAGUAAGGAAUAUUGGUCAAUGGGCGAAAGCCUGAACCAGCCAUCCCGCGUGCAGGAUGAAGGUCCUAUGGAUUGUAAACUGCUUUUAUCAGGGAAGAAACGCCUUCAUUUAUGGGGGUCUGACGGUACCUGAGGAAUAAGCACCGGCUAACUCCGUGCCAGCAGCCGCGGUAAUACGGAGGGUGCGAGCGUUAUCCGGAAUCACUGGGUUUAAAGGGUGCGUAGGCGGGGAAUUAAGUCAGUGGUGAAAGCCUGUCGCUUAACGAUAGAAUUGCCAUUGAUACUGAUUUUCUUGAAUUGGGUUGAGGUUAGCGGAAUGUGACAUGUAGCGGUGAAAUGCAUAGAUAUGUCAUGGAACACCAAUUGCGAAGGCAGCUAGCUGGGCCUUGAUUGACGCUGAGGCACUAGGAACGUGGGUAGCGAACAGGAUUAGAUACCCUUGUAGUCGAAUUCU
rnacentral:rRNA from 1 species